CCCUCUUAGCUUCGCAGAGGGCGGGGGCUGGGCAAUCACCAGGGCCUUGGUGUCUGAACCUAGCGACCCUUCUCGGAGGUGCAGCAGGGCCUCCUUGGACUGCAGGACCAGUGCACACAGACUCCACUGUGGGGGGCUCCUAGAGGUGCAGAGGUGUCGCUUGGGACAGAGAUUGGAUCCCUGAUUCUGCUUUUAAAACUGCAGUACCACAACAAAGUUACCCCACAUCCCUUUAUCAUCCUUUCUCCCUGUAUCCAAGGGUUUUGUUGCUAGUAAUACCUUUUUUGAAUACUUACAAAUUUUGUUGUGUUCUAGGAAGUGAGCUUUCGCGGCACUGCCUCUUUUGCCUCCGUGCCCACCACUGUUCCCACACAAAACAUCUAUCUCUAGUUUUCCUCGUUCCUACUUGAGAAACUGAGGCACAGCAACCUCCCCACCCCCCAGUGCACAGCUUGUGGGAAGGCUGUGCUGCAGAAAUAGAAGCUCCCUAGCGAGAGAUUCCUGAGGUCUCCAACAUUCACCGCCAAUGAGGAACCCUUGUGGGGAAGAUGGGAUGGCUUUUGCGUGGACAGCGUUAAGACAAGGGAAGCCCUGAGGUUAACAUCAGAGUGUACUCUGCAAGAUUGAAUGCUGACACUUUAUACAGUUCUCUGAUUCUCCCUGGGGUUCCAGUCUCUCCAUUCUUCAGCCAGGAAGGCCAGGUUAGGCAAUACAACCAAGGGAGCAGAGGUCUUAAAUGUGAGGUUUGGAACUGGAGCCCAGGUGUGACAGUUGAUCCUGAUUCUCAACUUGAUUGGACUGAGCACCUAGGAGAGUAUAAAACUCAACUCUGGGGGAAUUUAUAGAAAGUUACCUAAAAGGAGAAGACCUACUAAGAACCAGAAUGACACCCAUAGGUUGGCAGUGUAAUAGGAUAGAUGGAGAGGAAAGUCCAACAGCCCAGGUGUUCCUUCUGUGAUUUCUGGCUAUGUAAAGGGAGUUACCCAGUUCUGCCAGGCCUUUCUGGACAGGCAGACUGAAAUCUCUGAAACUCUGAGCCAACACAGAUCUUUCUCUCUUAAGUUUUCCCUCCGUGUUUUGUUACUUUAUUGAAAAAAAAAAAAAACAAGACACCAGAUGUAUCUUGACCUGCAAACUACUGUGUUUCCACUCUGACUUGGGCAUCAGGGUACUGCCCAGGGAUGGGGUCACACUCAGGCACUGUCAGGAGACUUCCGAUGCACUGUGCCAGGCUGUACGGUGGGGGAACUGGAGGCUGUUGGAGGAGGCUCCAGUUCCUAGUCACUGGGAUCUCUCCAUGACUGGAAUACCUCCGACCACCUGCAGCAUGUAUUCCAGAGAGAGAUCGGGAUUCAGGCCUUCCUGCUAAACUGCCAGCAUGCUAUCACUUUCCAGGCCACACUCCUGAGAGUAAGAAUCGUUCAACCCCAAAGCCUCCUGAGAGGCUGCCCACCCCAGCAGAACAGACCUUCACUGCCUGGAGCUCCUGCAGAAGCAGAUCUAAGUUUCCAUGAGGGCAGAAUUCCCAGCAAAGUUCUUACACUGGAUCCCUUCACACACUUUUUGAUCAUCAUCUCCUUCGUGUGAACACUGGAGGCUCGUGGGAGUCUAACAUCUCCAGACUGGCCUUCGGAGCUGUCACACCAUGGGUAGGAACUGCAAAGCUCCUUCUCACACAGACUGAAGAUCAGAGACAUCCUUCCCCACCCCGGACACAGGAUGAAAGAACUUCAUUGGACUUACGGGUUCCAGAGGCAGAGUCCACCAGGGCCCGAGAAGCACAGCAGCAGGCAGCAAAAGCAAGAAGCUGGAAGGUCACAUUCGUAACUGAAAAUCUGAAGCAGAGAGAACAAUCUGGAAAUGGAGUGAGGCUCUGAACUCCCAACGCCCGUCCCCAGUGACACACUUCCUCUGGCAAGGAUACACCUGUCAAAGGUUUUACAGCUCCACUACCUGGGACAUGUGUCCAAAUAUAGGAGCCUAGGGGGCACAUCCCUCCUUUCAACCAACACAGACCACAUAGCAGGACAAAGAGAAGACAGCUGUGACUUACCUGAGCCCAUGUCGCCUCUUACGUCCAGAGAGGUGACUGGUAAUUCCAUGUUCCAUUUCCUCCCUCCUGUUUUCCUUCAAUUACUAGAUAUCCACCACUAGGCCUCCCCCAUGUAACCCACGGGUUUUGCUGAGACUCAUGUAUCCUUUGUUUCCAUAUCUUGCCUUGAUGAAGAAAAAUAACUUGAGGCAGCAUAAAUGCUAUAAGUAAUAUUACAGAGUAGAGUGGGAAACGGAUCCCAUGCAGUUUGGAGAAGAGAAGGAAGAGGACCUUUGGAGCUCUGGAGCAAGGAUGGCCGUGUGUCUGUGUGUGUGUGUGUGUGUGUGUGUGUGUGUGUGUGUGUGUGUGUGUGUGUGUUCUCGUGCACUCACAAUUAAAAUAGAAAGACAAAAUGCAAUGCUUGAACCUUUUCUUGGCACAUAGUUAAAUUGCAUGUUGGUUAAGACCCUGGUUCCUCUGUGUAAUCUUACUUAGUUCAAGCACUACAGGGUCUGUCUGUCUGUCUGUCUGUCUAACUGGGAAGAGGCAGAUGUGUCCUGCUGCCAGAAUAUCAGGUCAGUCAUUGUGACUGGAAGAGAAGCCCGGUCCUGGCUGUGCUGAGGAGGGGCUGGGAAAGGCUGCUGCCCCUCCCAGGGAUGAGGCCAGCUAAGGAGGUGUGGCUGGGCACUCAGCAGGACCCUGUGUUAUCAGUGCCUAUUACCAUGGUCCAAGAGUGACUGCCAUUACCUGCUGUCAACUGUCAACUGAUCUCCUCACUGCCCUGCAUCCUUUGUGCUUGCAAAGCUGUUUUAACACCUGUGGAGGGAGGGACAUCUGCUGUGGCCACAGACUAUGGCUUUUCCCUUCAUCAUCCCCAGCUCUUGUGCUUAGGUAUUGUGGUUAUAAAAACCAAAACUUGAAGCUAGGCAAUGGUGCAUAUGCCUUUAAUCCCAGUCCAAGGCAGGCAGAUCCCUGAGUCUGAGGCUAGCC